CUGGGUUGAUAGGCCAGAUGUGGAAGCCCGGUAACGGGUGGAGCUGACUGGUACUAAUAGGCCGAGGGCUUGUCCUCAGUUG
rnacentral:rRNA from 3 species